CCCUUAGAUGUUCUGGGCCGCACGCGCGCUACACUGACUACUUCAACGAGUUGUUUCCUUGAUCGAAAGGUCUGGGUAAUCUUUGAAAGGUAGUCGUGAUGGGGAUAGAUCCUUGCAAUUUUUGAUCUUCAACGAGGAAUUCCUAGUAAACGCAAGUCAUCAGCUUGCAUUGAUUACGUCCCUGCCCUUUGUACACACCGCCCGUCGCACCUACCGAUUGAAUGGUCCGGUGAAUCUUUAGGACUGUGGCUGAGGCCUUGCCUUGUGCGGGUCUGGCCGUGGGAAUUUAGUUAAACCUUACCAUUUAGAGGAAGGUGAAGUCGUAACA
rnacentral:rRNA from 1 species